UUUAGUUAAAUGCGUCUAGUCAGUAGUCACCAGUAGGCGGCAUCUUAAAUUAAAAAACCAAAAUGAAAAAAAAUGUUCAUCAUAUAUCUGGGUUCAUUUUCAUUUCCAACGAAUCUCGUCAGUGAGAAGCUAUAACGCAUUCCAACAAAAAUAUAUAAAUUACAACAAAAUAAAUUCAAAAUGCCUGAGCAGCCAAAAAAGUCGAAUGCGAAGCCAGCACCAGUGAGCAAGACCAGCAAGGAUACCAAAGAUACAAAGCCGAAGCCAGCGCCGCCAGUCGUACGUAAUCCGCAGCAUAACACACACGAUCGGAUAUGGAAGAUCAUGAAAAUGUGACUUAGACAUCAUAGAGCAGCAUACGGCGUAUAUCAUUUUAUGAACAGGAACGAAAUCUCUUGAUAUGUUAAAAUCUAUUUCACACAACUGGAUUUUUAAGAUAUUAAAUAUGAAUUGCCGUUA
rnacentral:sRNA from 1 species